CAUGGAGCCAGCCCCUAGAGACCUUCCCUCCCUGUCGUCUGCCCCGCAGCUGACACAGGCCAGUGGACAAGAGCAGGCAAAUCAUCCCCUUGUGGCCUCUCUGCUUCCCUCCGUCCCCAAGAGAAAGGCGAGAGCUGCUAAAGCAGCACAGUCUCCCAAUCACCUGGCGGAAGAAGAGGAGACAUUUACUUGGGCUGGACAAAGCACCAGAGACACUGGAUGGGGAAUGGCCCUGGGGCUUGGAGGGUACGGACAUGAGCUGGAGGAGUUCUCAGGCAGUCUCAUUAUGGGUUUGUUAGUCCCU